UCAGUGAAGGACUAUCUAGAUUAGGCUGACCUAUGGAAAUGCUUGUAGGGUAUUAUUUUGAUUAAGUUGAGAUGGGAAGAUUUGCCCUCUGUGGGUGGCACCAUUUCCUAGGCAGAUGAUCAUGGACUAGACGAAUCUAGCGAAGGGGCGGGGCUAAGCAACAGCAUGCAUACCUUCAUGGGUCUUUUUUGACUUUGGAUGUAAUGGAACCAGCUUCAGGUUCCUGAUACCUUGGCUUCUCUGUAACCCAGAACUGUGAACUGAAACAUUGUCUCCUGUAAGCUUCUUUUGUCAGAGUGUUGUAUCACAGAGACAGGAAACAAGCCAACACAUGGAAGGAAAGAGGCAACAAAGCACUUGAGUGGACUGGGUUAGAUCUGCUUAUAAGAACCGACCUAGCAGCUUAUCCUGGGUGCAAGCCCAUCUCAUCAGGUGACUCUGUGCUGGUGUCCUCCACCAUUCCCACCAGUGAGCCAUCAGACCUUCUCCAAGAUGCUUUAGCCUCUCUGCUGGUUCUACAUCUACUUCUCCUGAGUCACAUGAUGAUGUGCUGAAGAGCAAUCAGUACAGCGCCCAGCUUCUGCAGAGCACUUCCCUCCCUGUCAGCAAGGGCUACUCCCAGCACCUCCAAGACCCUUUGAACUGCUUUCCACAAGGGAGCAUGGCUGGUGGCCCACACCUAGCCCAAGGCUCCUGGAGAGGUGGUGUAUAACCCAACAUCCUCUCACCUUUUGUCAGUACCAACCUUUCAUCCAGAUACUCAAAAAUGAUAGACACUUGAGCUGGGAAUAUAGCUCAGUAGGUAGCGACUGCUUGCUUGGUGUGGUGGUUUGAAUAAGCUCUGGCAGUUGAGUGUUUGCUCCCCAGUUGGUGGACCUCUUCUCAGAAGCUUAGAAGAAGUGGCCUUGUUGAGGGAAGUAUCUCACUGGGGUGAGUUUAGAGGACUUCAAGAGUUUGUUUCCUUUGUUUCCUGUGUACAGUUCAAGAUAUGAUCUCUUAGCUGUUGCUCCAGCCACUAGGUCAGCCUGCUGCCAUGCUUCCCACCAUGAUGGUGAUGGACAUUUAUCCCUCAGGAACUGUAAGCCCCAGACAACUUUCUAUAAGUUACCUUAAUUAUAAUAUUUUAUCAUGGUCAAAGAUUUGUAACUAAGACACACACAUGACAUCCACAAACCCCCCAAGUUCCAUCCCUAGUACCAAACAAAUCAGGUAUGGUAGAUCGCUUCAAUGCUGGUGCUUAGAAAGUAUAGGCAAGGGGAAUCAAAAGCUCAAGGUCAUUUUUUAGCUAUGUAAGGAGUUCAAGGUCAACCUAGGCUACAUAAGACCUAUCCUAAAAAUAAAAAGAUAGUUAUCUAAAGAUUAUUAAAACAAUUAAAGGGAUGAGCAAAAGAAAAGAUGAUGCUUCUACUCAUCUAGUUAUCAGGCAGGAUUAAAGUCAGAGGCAUCUCAUGGAGACAUGCACUGUUUCCUAGGCUCUAUCCAAAGAUCUUGGUGACCUGGGGCUUUGUCUGGGGCUGAUUGCCUUGAACAAAGUCCAGGGCCUCUUUGAUGGUCCGGAAGGAUGUUCUCCAUUUGGAGCCAUAGACUCUUGGGCUAUAUUCUGUCUGCACUAUCUCUAACUGGAAAUACCCUGCAGCUGGACAGUAGACUUCAGAGUCUUUGCAGCUGGGCAUGGGAAGGCUGUCUGCAAACAAGAGGGUUUUAAAAUAAAUAGUGACUCCAGUGA